UACGGAGGGUGCAAGCGUUAUCCGGAAUCACUGGGCGUAAAGGGCGCGUAGGCGGCCUGUUAAGUCCGAUGUUAAAGACUGGGGCUCAACCCCAGCAUUGCGUUGGAUACUGGCAGGCUUGACAGUUGGAGAGGCGAGCGGAAUUACCAGUGUAGCGGUGAAAUGCGUAGAUACUGGUAGGAACACCCAUUGCGAAGGCAGCUCGCUGGACAACACGUGACGCUGAGGCGCGAAAGUGUGGGGAGCAAACCCGGAUUAGAUA
rnacentral:rRNA from 1 species